AUAUCUUGUUGUUUUGCUACUCUCACUUCGGAGUUCGGAUGGUGUCUAGCAACGUUGGGUACCUCGUUUCUUGUGUGUGUGAGCGAGUGGUUGCUGUUUACGAUGUGUUCAUAUAUUGCUUUGUAGUGCUGUAAUGUGCAAAUUAGCGGACUUUAUAGCGGCUCUCUAUUUUCCGUCGUUGUCUUUCGAGCAGCGCCUGUUGUUCCGGUAAAAAUCGAGUUGAAUGAAUCGCCACAGCCCCAACGUAUAUCGCGCAGUGUUGACCAAGACCAUGUCAAGCAGGAAUUCUGGCAUGGUAUGUGGCUGCACGAAGGAUUCAGAAAAAGAAAAACAACAACAUGGCUAAUAGGAUGUUGCUGCCCAGGGAGUCCUGGCGAAGAGGUGAGCUGUUAAGAUCAUCAUAAGGUUCUGUUGUGAAGUGAGAAAUUUUGUAGUAGUGCACGAAUGUUAAUUCGUGCACUACUUUUAUAAAAAAGAAACCAGAAAUGGAAAGUUAUGCAUGCAUCAUUUCAUGAAUUGUAAUGUAUUACUAUUUGAUAUUCACAUGUUUCCAUUAAGGGAAUGAACUACUGAACCUAUAUUCAUAUCAUGGUCAUGCUCUGUGUUUACCGGGAAGUCACAUUUUUAAGGCUUGUCAUUCUUUUGUCUAAAUGAAUAUUUAUGUUAACCUUGUAUGAAAUAGCAGACACGUAUCAACACGUGUGCAGCUUGUGCACAUUAAAAUGAGCCAUGUAGAGACAAAUGCUUGUUGUUGUUUUUUUUAAUAUUCUAGCCUAUUCAUGGUUGCUCAUCGCUUCUUGCAGGUUUACUCAUUCCAGAAGCAAGAAUUGUAUCAUUGUAAGGCGAAUGGAAAUAAACUGACAUCGACUGA